rnacentral:rRNA from 1 species
GAUGAACGCUGGCGGCGUGCCUAAUACAUGCAAGUCGAGCGAACAGACGAGGAGCUUGCUCCUCUGACGUUAGCGGCGGACGGGUGAGUAACACGUGGAUAACCUACCUAUAAGACUGGGAUAACUUCGGGAAACCGGAGCUAAUACCGGAUAAUAUAUUGAACCGCAGGGGUCAAUAGUGAAAGACGGUUUUGCUGGCACUUAUAGAUGGAUCCGCGCCGCAUUAGCUAGUUGGUAAGGUAACGGCUUACCAAGGCAACGAGGCGUAGCCGACCUGGGAGGGUGACCGGCCACACUGGGUCUGAGGCCCGGUCCGGACUCCUACGGGGCGCAGCAGUCGGCAGUCGUCCGCAGUGGGCAAUAGCCUGCCGGGGCACCGCCGCGUGAGUGAUGACGGUCUUCGGGUCGUAACGCUCUGUUAUUAGGGAAGAACAAUUGUGUAAGUCACUGUGCGCGUCUUGGCGGUACCUAAUCAGGCAGCCGCGGCUUACUUC